AUGGGUCUUCCUCCUCCUUCUGAUGUAAAAAUACAACGAGACAAGCCAGGCCAGUAUAUCAAAGCUCCGCUUCAACACAUUUCUGCUCAGCUGCCUGCAUCCUGGCCCGUCAUCAGCUCUAACAUUAAGAGUUAAAGCGUUUUUAAAGCCAAAGCUAUGUGAAGGAGGCUGAGUCAUGCUGGGUCCUUUCUGGGCUUCCCCCUUCUCUGAUCCUCCGCUCCUCCCCCUCUGUGGUCUAGGCUCAUGCACUGGGUUCACCGCUGGUGGCGUGUUGGAACAUGCCUUGACUUGUUGUGCUGUCUGGCUGAAGCAGACAGAGAGAGAAAUAGAUAGAGGGAGAUAGAGAGAGAGUGGGGUAGAAGCCACAGAGAGAAAGAGAAGACGCUGGUGGUCAACUGGUACCUCUUGUGAAGUGACCCUCCAGAUUUUGGGGUGGAUGGAGGAGCUCCGCCGCUGCCUUGAUCCCUGGACUUCUAGGGGGUUGCCAAAGCAUCCCACCACCAAAGAUGCCGGGAAGGUGAGGUGCAAACAUCAGCGUCGCUGGAACCGAGGGGGUCAACGCGUGCGGCUAAAAGCGGCCAGGUUCCUGCUGAGAGGAAGCCGGCGGACAGACGGACGGUAGGCCGGUAGGCUGCUGUGGGUGUUUCUCUGGCAGUGUCUUAGCUGGUUGUUGUGAGGAGUGAGAACGAAGCAAUCAGCAAGUAUACUGCCGCAGAAAUUCUUCGCAAUACGAAGCCCCGGGAUCGACGAUGGUCACGAGGCGCAGAGAGGAGCAAAGAUUGUCACGGCGGAGGACGCUGGGAAACGGACCCGGCUGCGGCUGUAGGUCUGAAGUGGGAACAGGAAGAGCUGAAGGCAGACCGACAGAGCCUGGCCUGUUUGUUACCAACAUUUCCAUGUGGAUCGAGGCACCAAGCCUCCUAACUCUGUAGCUCCAUGAUCUUCUGCUGCCAUCUUGUGACUGAAAGCAACCUCUCCGCAUGCUUUUCUUCAUUCAGCCUACCUUAAUCUUUUAUAGCGUCUAUUGUCAAAAUGCAUUCGCGUGGCUUAAUAGGCCCAGAUUUCUUGUCUUCAGUUGCAAGCGCAUCUUCCUUUGUGAGCAAUUUUAAUUUAAUUAGUCAAUUUGACCAAUUUAUUAGCUGCUGCCCAAUAAUUUCUUCGUGCUAGUUAUUGUAAUUGUGAAAAGGUGUAAAUAAAUGUUUCGUAAUACCUGAUUCAUCA